GCGUGAGCGACAUGCCCGUUGCCCGGGGACAACCGGUGGAAACGCCGACUAAUCCCCGAUGGGAUACGAUGCUUCAUGGCAUUGUAUUGAAAGUUACGGCGGCGACGGAUUGGCUCGCGUCCGAUUAGCUUGUUGGCGGGGUAACGGCCCACCAAGGCUACGAUCGGUAGGGGUUCUGAGAGGAAGGCCCCCCACAAUGGGACUGAGACACGGCCCAUACUCCUACGGGAGGCAGCAGUGAGGAAUAUUGGUCAAUGGGCGGAAGCCUGAACCAGCCAUGCCGCGUGCGGGAAGGAGGCCCUAUGGGCUGUGAACCGCUCUUGCCUGGGGGCAAUAAGGGCGUCGCGCACGUCCGAUGAGAGUACCAGGCGAAUAAGCAUCGGCUAACUCCGUGCCAGCAGCCGCGGUAAUACGGGGGAUGCGAGCGUUAUCCGGAUUCAUUGGGUUUAAAGGGUGCGUAGGCUGUGCGUCAAGUCGGGGGUGAAAUUCCGGUGCUCAACACCGGGGCUGCCCUUGAUACUGUCGCGCUGGAGUGCGGAUGCCGCCGGAGGAAUGAGUGGUGUAGCGG
rnacentral:rRNA from 1 species